GAAUGUGAGAAUGAUCUACCUGUGACAUCUGUCACCCCACUGACUACCAGGAUUGAUUCGGCUGACCGCUCCAUGUACAUCCCUCUGAAUGCUGGGCACUUGGUAAAAGAGGACCAACCUUCUCGGAUAAAAGAAGAUGGUUCUUUAGUCAAGGGCAUAUGAGUAGCUGUGCUCCCCUGAUAGAACCUCCAAACAAGCUCUCAAGAUUGGUGUUCAGUAGUAUCAAAUAAUGGUAUACCUUUAUGAGAUAAUGCAAGCAGGAGUAUUGACUAA
ensembl:misc_RNA 7SK 7SK RNA